UGGGGAAUAUUGCACAAUGGGCGCAAGCCUGAUGCAGCCAUGCCGCGUGUAUGAAGAAGGCCUUCGGGUUGUAAAGUACUUUCAGCGGGGAGGAAGGGAGUAAAGUUAAUACCUUUGCUCAUUGACGUUACCCGCAGAAGAAGCACCGGCUAACUCCGUGCCAGCAGCCGCGGUAAUACGGAGGGUGCAAGCGUUAAUCGGAAUUACUGGGCGUAAAGCGCACGCAGGCGGUUUGUUAAGUCAGAUGUGAAAUCCCCGGGCUCAACCUGGGAACUGCAUCUGAUACUGGCAAGCUUGAGUCUCGUAGAGGGGGGUAGAAUUUCAGGUGUAGCGGUGAAAUGCGUAGAGAUCUGGAGGAAUACCGGUGGCGAAGGCGGCCCCCUGGACAAAGACUGACGCUCAGGUGCGAAAGCGUGGGGAGCAAACAGG
rnacentral:rRNA from 1 species